rnacentral:piRNA from 1 species
UGGCCUGUCCAGGUCCACUGAAGGUCCUUU